AGUGAACGCUGGCGGUAGGCCUAACACAUGCAAGUCGAACGGCAGCACAGUAAGAGCUUGCUCUUACGGGUGGCGAGUGGCGGACGGGUGAGGAAUACAUCGGAAUCUACUUUUUCGUGGGGGAUAACGUAGGGAAACUUACGCUAAUACCGCAUACGACCUACGGGUGAAAGCAGGGGAUCUUCGGACCUUGCGCGAUUGAAUGAGCCGAUGUCGGAUUAGCUAGUUGGCGGGGUAAAGGCCCACCGAGGCGACGAUCCGUAGCUGGUCUGAGAGGAUGAUCAGCCACACUGGAACUAAGACACGGUCCAGACUCCUACGGGAGGCAGCAGUGGGGAAUAUUGGACAAUGGGCGCAAGCCUGAUCCAGCCAUACCGCGUGGGUGAAGAAGGCCUUCGGGUUGUAAAGCCCUUUUGUUGGGAAAGAAAAGCAGCAGGUUAAUACCCCGCUGUUCUGACGGUACCCAAAGAAUAAGCACCGGCUAACUUCGUG
rnacentral:rRNA from 1 species